GUUGGUUUGGCCGAGUGGUUAUGGCGCUGUGUUCAGGGGACUCCCUUGCAACCGCAGUGUGAAAACGCGUGGGUUCGAAUCCCACAACCAACA